rnacentral:tRNA from 1 species
UCGACCUCGGUGCGGCAGUCGGUGCAACGGUCGUCGAGAUCGACCGCGGCGAGAUCCUCCUCGUCGGUGCGGACGUCCGUCGCGUACGGGUCGUCC